CUAACCCCGGUCAGGAUUUGGUGAAAGAUUAUGGCAAGGAUUACUGGUUUCUAAAUUGCAGUUUAACACACAGGAAACAAAACACUAUGUUUUUGUCCACAGGGCUUCCACAGGGUUGUAUUUGUUCGUAGACGCAGUGUUGCUAGGAGAAUAGUGGUGGAUCAGUGUGUUAUUUUUCAAAAUACUGGAUCAGCUAGGUCAGAAGAAAGAUAUUGAUGGUUUUAAACAUGCUUUUUCUCCUAUCCACUAAUCCAGCAUCUUCUCAGCUAUAGAUGAUUUUUUUAUUUUUAUUUUUUUAAUCUUGCUUCAAGCAUUUGUGAUCGCCUGUGGAAAACAGGUGCUUCAAACUUUAAAACAAAGCAACUUCAGACAUUUCCACAAUGAGAAGUUUGUUCCUCCUGUCAUAAUCCCUCCUGGCACAUUAACCCUUUUGAUCAUCACUUCCAUACUGGAUAUAAAAUGAAGACUGAACAGCACUGCAGUACAAGUGACUUUUAGAGUUCUAUGACUCUUUGAAGACAGCCAAACAAGUGUCUUUGAUCUAAAAAAAGGCAGCCACUGCCUUAUACAAGGGAAGCAGGACAAAAACCACAGAAACAGGCUCCCUGUGAGAGAAAUGACAUGCACUUUGUACAGCUUUUACUGGGCAUCCAUCAAACAACAGAGCCCGAGGAAGACUGAGAGACCAGAAGUGUUCAUCUGCUUUUGAGAAGCCAAGGAAAUUAUUUUAAUGUGGACAGAUAUUUUUUUACACCAAGAACAGUCAUCAGUUCUUGGUGGAGCAUUUUUCACCUACAAAUUGC